GAUGAACGCUGGCGGCGUACUUAACACAUGCAAGUCGAACGGUGAAGGCGGAGCUUGCUCUGCUGGAUCAGUGGCGAACGGGUGAGUAACACGUGAGCAAUCUGCCCCUGACUCUGGGAUAAGCGCUGGAAACGGCGUCUAAUACUGGAUACGAGCUGCGAAGGCAUCUUCAGCAGCUGGAAAGAAUUUCGGUCAGGGAUGAGCUCGCGGCCUAUCAGCUUGUUGGUGAGGUAAUGGCUCACCAAGGCGUCGACGGGUAGCCGGCCUGAGAGGGUGACCGGCCACACUGGGACUGAGACACGGCCCAGACUCCUACGGGAGGCAGCAGUGGGGAAUAUUGCACAAUGGGCGAAAGCCUGAUGCAGCAACGCCGCGUGAGGGACGACGGCCUUCGGGUUGUAAACCUCUUUUAGCAGGGAAGAAGCGAAAGUGACGGUACCUGCAGAAAAAGCGCCGGCUAACUACGUG
rnacentral:rRNA from 1 species